GUAGAUUGUCGGUCACUCUUAACCUCCAGUUUCUGUAUAUCUUUGCACAGCUUUGCAUGCCGUAAAAAUUGAAUUUAUAAAAUGAUUUAAUUUUUCAGACAUCAUAUACGAUUAAUGCAGUUUUUAUACAGUGAUGAUUAAUAAAUUUGUAUUCUGCUGUAUAUUGUAUAUUUUGAGAUUCAACAUGAAUGUUAAGGAAAAGAUCUCUACUUACAGAAGAUAAAGUCGGCGUACGGGUCGACGAACUUCGUAUUAACCCGUCAUCCUCCGUCAUCGCACGAAUUAGAUGCCGCAGGGACAUUGAUUGCAGCAUGUGCUCCGGUGCACGCAUGAUUAGGACUGCAUCGGUGUAAUUGAGUGGGCGGAUUUCCGAUUUGCAUUACCGUCGAAGAUGUUGCUGCGCUGUGGGUUACUAAUGGCACGGACACACACAUAAAUGGCCGAGACUGCCUACCGAUCCGUACGGCUAGGUCGGUAUGUGUUCCGCGCACCGGGUUAGCAUCCACUACUCACGUGCAGGUAUGUACCUGGAUGGCGUUUCUCGGCAGAAACCUACGCCGAGGAUCGACGGCGAGGGGGGAGAGAAACUGGUGGGUCGCAACCGCAGCCCGUGAGUGAUACACCCUCAAUAUCCACACUUUACCCUAAGAUCUCACUAAAUCUCCUUCUAGCUUGCCUACCCAUCUCCCCGGCACAUCCAUAAGCCUGCAUACACACUGUUCCAGUUUAUGAGCCGGUAUAUUUUCGGCCGCGCAGUAACGCGCGCGUGCGAAAGCGCGCCGAGAUGUGCCGGGGAUGUGCCGCGAUGCCGUAUGACGACGCAUGUCGCAUAUCAUCGUUUUGCCUCGCUACUAAUGUCUCGCGGUGUUUACCUUAUUAUCGCAUUAAUACGAAAGUAUUUCAGUAAACAGGUUUUUUAAUGAGAUAAUGAAAUUAUGUAUUUUAAAAAGGUAUCGAAUGAAAGGUAAAUUUUAAAAAAGGUUCGUUGCUCCAGCUCUUACGAUUUAUUAAGAUAAAAAUCAAGACAUUUAAAGAUAUCAUUUGAAUUUAAUUUUAAAUCUACGAAUGUCAUUUUUUAAUCAUACAAUUUAAUGUUGUGUAGGAGAGAAGCUUAUAUAUAAUUUUCAAUUACAAACAAAUUGAUAGUACAAUCGCUUUCGUAUAUGGAAAAUGUCUAUUAUGUAAUAAGAGCAAAAUCCAGUGAUUCCAAUUAUGACUUACGCUUUAGACAAUCUAUUUUUCACUAGAAAAAAGACAGGGGAAAAGAGAUGGGACGACGAUAGCGGAAAAUUGAUAUGCCUUGUUUUUCUCAGACGUGCAAAAAGAAAAAUAAACUCUCGGAAACGGUCUCGUAUUUCGUUGGAGAACUAUGUCUUCGUUUUGGGCAGCUUUUCACAACAGCUGUUGCCAGCUGUCGAAGGACGUGAAAAAAGGUGUCGGAAGCACCGGCGUAAACGUGAACAGAAUUUCAUAUCGGAAGAAUCUCCACACGUGGGAUAUGUGAUUUCUUCACAAUGGAAUUAAAAAAUUAUAAGCGACACACUACAUUCACCGAGCAACAGGCUAUUUAAAUAGUCCCAAAUCGAUGAGAAACAUUUUAGAAAAACUUACUGGAUAUACAGAUAUAAUACUAGAUAGCAGUUUUAAUAAACUCAACUAAUUUUUAUAUAAAGCAUAUUUAUAUUAUAAUUGCAUUAAUUUUUUCUGAAUAUAAUCA